rnacentral:tRNA from 1 species
UCCCCUGUGGCUCAGACGGUAAAGAAUCUGCCUGCAAUGCAGGAGAUGUGGGUUCAAUCCCCAGGAAGGGAA